rnacentral:lncRNA from 1 species
UCUAAGUUGCAGCCCUCCGGCUGAAUAAACUUUACGGCCAAACAAAUCGAGGCGCUUAGCCUCCUUCGAUUUGGGCGCUGCGGCCUGUUGACCGUGGCGCUCCCUUGCAUUCACUGAUGACACCACCAGUGAACACGGCUGGGGAUGGGUAUACAAGUACUCGUAGUCUUUGGAGGGAACAAAGUACUUUCUUUCCACCCCUCUCGCUGUGGGUGGGAUAGAGGCAGGAGUUUGCCAUAUCGUAGUGGCGUUAGCCUGGAUCGUGCGGAUCAGGGGCAACGCCACUCUGGAUGGGGCAUCCGCAGAGAGGAUGUUCACAAUGGGGUCUUGCACCUCCACUAUCUUCUCUGCCUGAAGGUCCAUAUUAUGGGCCACCCUACGUAAGAGGUCCUGAUGGGCCCGAAGAUCUAUUGGGGGUGGACCUGUGCACGACGUGCCCGCCACUGCCUCAUCCGGAGAGGAAGAGAAAGAUGCCUCCGGUGGUAAGGGGUCCAAGGGAGGGUCCUGUUCUCCCUGUUCCUGGGACGGAGCAUCACCUGUCCUUGGGUCCAGGACGUCAGGUGGUGUGGGCACGGAAGCCUCCAUGCCCCCUGGAGGAGGGCGAGAGAUGGUGGACUCUAGGGCCCUUCGCUCAGAGUGCACCGAGCGAGAGGCUGAUGGUGGUGGAGCCCCUUGCGCUUGGUGGUACGCCCACGGGGUCCAAAACGACCAGUGCGAAGGUCCCUGAGCGGGAUCCUCUGCUACCUCCUGCCAGUGGCCCAUGUCCGGAUCAUCGGCCUGUCUCUGAGGGGGGUAUGCCGAUCUCGAUGCCCCAUCGGAGGAGCGGGACACUGAUCGAGAUGGCCAUGGCGGUGCCGACCGCGCCGAGACAAGCUCCGGACGGUACGGUGCCGUACGGUGCCGGUCCAGAGAUGAACGGUCCCUGUGCGGUGCCGGCAAACGGUGCCGAGAUCGGGAUCGGUGCCGACGAUCGCGUCGGUGCCGGGAGUCCGACCUGGACCUGGAAUUGGAUCUUGAAUAGGCCCGGUGCCGGGAGCGGCCUCUCGACGUCGAGCGUCGAUCGUAUCGGUGCCGAGAACUACGUCUCGAUGUCGAUCGGUGCCGACGAUCAUAGCAGUGCCGAGACGUAGAGCGGUGCCGCGACGAUGAUCUUGGCCGCGAGUCCGACCGGUG